UGAGAUGACCACCAAGAGCAGCAGCAGCAG
rnacentral:piRNA from 1 species